rnacentral:rRNA from 1 species
CUAGCGACUUCAGAGUUUGAUCCUGGCUCAGGAUGAACGCUGGCGGCGUGCUUAACACAUGCAAGUCGAACGGAGUAAUUUCGCUGACGAGACUUCGGUCAAAUCUUGAGAUUACUUAGUGGCGGACGGGUGAGUAACGCGUGGGUAACCUGCCUUGUACUGGGGGACAACAGUUGGAAACGACUGCUAAUACCGCAUAAGCGCACAGAGCUGCAUGGCUCAGUGUGAAAAACUCCGGUGGUACAAGAUGGACCCGCGUCUGAUUAGCUAGUUGGUGAGGUAACGGCCCACCAAGGCGACGAUCAGUAGCCGGCCUGAGAGGGUGAACGGCCACAUUGGGACUGAGACACGGCCCAA